rnacentral:rRNA from 1 species
GACGAACGCUGGCGGCGUGCUUAACACAUGCAAGUCGAACGGAAAGGCCCUGCUUUUGUGGGGUGCUCGAGUGGCGAACGGGUGAGUAACACGUGAGUAACCUGCCCUUGACUUUGGGAUAACUUCAGGAAACUGGGGCUAAUACCGGAUAGGAGCUCCUGCUGCAUGGUGGGGGUUGGAAAGUUUCGGCGGUUGGGGAUGGACUCGCGGCUUAUCAGCUUGUUGGUGGGGUAGUGGCUUACCAAGGCUUUGACGGGUAGCCGGCCUGAGAGGGUGACCGGCCACAUUGGGACUGAGAGACGGCCCAGACUCCUACGGGAGGCAGCAGUGGGGAAUAUUGCACAAUGGGCGGAAGCCUGAUGCAGCAACGCCGCGUGCGGGAUGACGGCCUUCGGGUUGUAAACCGCUUUCGCCUGUGACGAAGCGUGAGUGACGGUAAUGGGUAAAGAAGCACCGGCCAACUACGUG